rnacentral:rRNA from 1 species
GACGUAGGGCGCGAGCGUUGUCCGGAUUUAUUGGGCGUAAAGAGCUCGUAGGCGGCUCAUUGCGUCAACCGUGAAAACCAGCAGCUCAACUGUUGGCUUGCGGUUGAUACGGGUGGGCUGGAGUUCAGUAGGGGAGACUGGAAUUCCUGGUGUAGCGGUGAAGUGCGCAGAUAUCAGGAGGAACACCGGUGGCGAAGGCGGGUCUCUGGGCCGAUACUGACGCUGAGGAGCGAAAGCGUGGGGAGCGAACAGG